GCCACGGUUUUCUCCUGGAAUAUGAUUCCGAAGUCAGUCCUAUAGCUUCCAAUAGAUCAAAUCGAUAUAUAAAUCAACCAGGAAUAUAAAGCAAUCAGCCAAUCACCAAUAGGACUAUGAGGCUUAGGGACUUAUAUCCGCGGAGCAAGCUGGACACCCCGAGCAUCCCAUAUCAGACAUGUGUCAUCAUCUGACGAUCUGCAAAGAUUUUAUAAAGGGCUCAUGGAGCUUACCAGUUGA